GAAAAUGGUCCUUCGCUAUUAAACAAAAUCAUUUUGAUGUCACUGUAAAUUUUGAAGGAAAAAAAAAGAAGGUUGAAGCUGUAAAUUUUUGCAAUUAAAUAGAAGUUAAUCAGAGACUUUGAUCAUAAUUUCUUAGGGUGUGUGUGGUUGUGAUAAGAAAAUGAGAAGAGAGAAAUAUGUGAGAGAGAGUGUGAGAAGAGAGAAAUAGAUGAGAAAUAUAGUAGAUUUGAUGUGUUGAUUGGUUUAACAGAAAAAAGAAAAGAAAUAGAAGAGAGAGAAGUGUGUUUAAUUUUUUAAAAGACCAAAAUAUCCUU
rnacentral:lncRNA from 1 species